rnacentral:rRNA from 1 species
UACGAAGGGUGCAAGCGUUAAUCGGAAUUACUGGGCGUAAAGCGUGCGUAGGCGGUUUGUUAAGUCUGUUGUGAAAUCCCCGGGCUCAACCUGGGAAUGGCAAUGGAUACUGGCAAGCUAGAGUGUGUCAGAGGAUGGUGGAAUUCCCGGUGUAGCGGUGAAAUGCGUAGAGAUCGGGAGGAACAUCAGUGGCGAAGGCGGCCAUCUGGGACAACACUGACGCUGAGGCACGAAAGCGUGGGGAGCGAUCCGG